rnacentral:misc_RNA from 1 species
GAGGGAGAGCGUCGGGUGGAGGAACUGUUGUGGUGAUGUUGAGACUCGGCGAGGCGGACGCACAAUGACGGAUCCUUCCCAAAUAGAGGCGAUAGAAAGUGAAUAUAGACAAUUCGAACUCAAAGAUGCAUGGAAUCAAGAGUACCAGCGGAUACGAAGUGAAGGAAGUUACGAUUUACCUUGUACGGAAGCCAAAACACCCGCCAAUAGAAACUUGAAUCGGUACCGGGAUGUCCUUCCUUACGACCACACCAGAAUAGUUCUUAAGGACCACAACACUAGUUAUAUCAAUGCUUCUCUUGUUAAGGUAGAGUGUGUGAAUCGUUCAUACAUCUUAACCCAGGGGCCACUAUCACAUACCACUCCACACUUUUGGUUGAUGAUAUGGCAGCAGAAGGUUAAAGGUAUCAUCAUGCUCAACAAGAUUAUUGAGAAGAAUCAGUUAAAAUGUUACCAGUACUGGCCUUUGGGUGAGUGUGACGGUGGUGAAGACACUAUGGUGUUCUCAUCUGUGAACCUCAAGGUGGACCUUCUCAGUGUCAGUCAUCACACACACUACAAUUAUAGUACUCUAAGAUUAACAGAAACAUCAUCAGGAAACAGUCGCUUGAUUUUACAUUUCCAUUACACAACGUGGCCAGAUUUUGGUGUUCCUCAGUCACCUGAAGCAUUUUACAAGUUCCUAAAUGUUGUGCGAGCUAGUGGCGUACUAGAACCAGAUGUUGGGCCAUCUGUUGUUCACUGCUCUGCAGGAAUUGGUCGAUCAGGGACUUUCUGUUUGGUGGACUCUAUCCUCAUGAUGCUUUCCAAGGGUCUCUGUGGGUCUGGUCCGGGUAAAGUGAUCAAAGUCUUGCUGGACAUGAGACAGCAACGCAUGGGUCUUAUUCAAACUCACGACCAAUUGAAGUUUUCAUAUCAGGCUAUAGUUUAUGGUGCACACAAGCUCAGUGAAAUGAAUGGCAAGGAUCCAUGUGAAGAGAGCAGCAGUGAAGAGCCAUCGUUGGCAGACGAACUGCCCCCACAGCCUCCACCUCGCACAGAUUCACUCACACGUUCCAUGAUUGAAAGUCAGCUUGCGAAGGAGCUUGAGGAUGGUCAGGGAUCAGAUACAGCUCCAGAAGAAAAUGAUGAAGAUUAUGAAGAUGGAGAUGCUCCAGUCAGACCAUUGCCAGCAGAGCCACCCACAGAUGGUUCAGGCCCUGACACGUCUCCACCAACAAGCCCAGAUUAUCAUAAUGACUUGUGCAGUGAAAAUGAUGUUCGACGACGAAAACGACGGGAACGAACAGCAGCGACUGCAGCUAAAGUCAAAGCCAUGGUGGAAAAGCAGCGAGUCAAUGAGCAUUGGCAAGAUAGAAAGAGUGUGAAAAUAUGGUAUAUGAAUGCUGUACACUCAUAACCCACGCAAGCGUGGAAAAUGGCUGUAAAACGAUGAUGAGGGUGACUAAUACAUUGCUUAUCAGUCAGGAUGCAUUCUUGGAAAAGUCCAGCACGGAGAAGAAGGAGGAGGAGGAGGUGGAUGUCCCAGCUAAACGUUGUCGUCUCUAGCACUGUCAGGUGAUUAACCACUUAGCACGGCACAGAGCUCGUAACUUUCUUACGUCGAUCAAAAUACACAAGAUGUAGAGCCCACUAUAUUCUCAGCACAAAGUAUGCUGGAAGUUAGUCCCAAAGUUCUGAAGAAAAGUUUACUCGUAUGUAUGUGUAAAAUAGUACCGUAUGUUAAGAAGAUAUGACAUUCCAACAACUUUUGAUUAUUUUAAAGGAUUAGCCCAUGUAUUUAAUGUUAAAAAAUAUGUUGAAGAACUCAUAGAAAUGUGUAUAAUAUUAUUGUGUUUUGUAAUGUGGAACAAUAAAAGAUGAGUGUUAAAUUAUUUAACUCAUGAUUACAAUUAUCAUGGAACUUAAGUGUUGAAUAAUGUAGGGUGACACUGACAAUUAGGGAAAUACUGUACAGUAUGUACUGUACAGGACUGUAGUCACUCAAACAUAAAGAUUGAAGUGUCAUUAUGAAAACAAACAAAGCAGAUAGCAGUUUGAUAUUUGCUAAACAUAGGGUGCUCCUGUUGUUCAUUUCCAUCAUAAUUUCAAAUUUGUGUUUGUUGCAAAUCAUAAGAAAAUAUAAUUGUUGUGAUGUUAGGGCUUACCAUACUUAUCCCAGGGAUGCUUAGAUCAUUGCUAGAAUAACUGAAGUCACUUCUUUAAAGUGACAAAAUGAAACAGUUCACACAAUAAUAUGCGCAAUAGAAAAGGGUCAUACAGUCCAGCUGAAAAGGCAUGGAGUUAUAUACAGUAAGUGAAAUCUGCACUUGCCUAAAUCUUUACUAGUGUGCCACGUUUCCCUAUGCUCACUUGGCCAUCAUCAGUAUUGUGAAUGCUAAAAAGGACAGGUUUUUUAACCCCUUGAGUAGGGAGUCCUCUCUGAGCUAAAAAAAAAAAAAUUACUGGCUUUAGUGUCCCCAUUGUGCAGGUGCAGGUGUACUGUAUGAGCCAAAUAUCAAUACAUAUUAAUAAAGAGUUUUCUGGCAGUCAAAAAUAUCAAGUUGCUCUUCUCUUUUUUUUUUUCUAAGAAUGUAUCAAGGUAUGUGUAAUACUUUCUUGACUUGCAAACCCAUUCUUUAGAAGUAUUAUUACUGAUAUCCUCUUUCCUUGCAAUUUACUAUAAAUUCACUUUCUAGAGACUUUUGUAUCAUUCACUUCACCUGUGAUCAGGACUAAGCCAAAGUGCCCCUAAAGUACAGUCACAAACAAAAGUCCUGUUGGUCCACAAACCCCGAGAUUCAGAUUCAUGAAUCCAAAUCAUCUGGAUAACGCAUCAGUGUCUAUUGCUUCAGGUUCAAGAGUCUGAAUCUUGGAGUUCGUGAAGCAGCAGGAGAGGCGACAGGACUUUUGUUCAGAACUGUAGAUACAGUAUUUCAGAGUAGAACUCCAUUUUUUUAGACCACAAACCUUUAAUUUAAAGAAAAAUGCUUAAAGCUAAAGAGUACUGCACUCAGCUUAUCACAAGUUUGAGGAGGUUUCAUUUCAAAUAAUUAAUGUAAAAUACAUGUCCUUCAUGACCCCUGUUAAUUUAUUUAAUGAAAACGUUAGUGUUUUAAAUGCUACUGGGGAUUAAACAAGUAAGGGCAGCCUACUAGAUGUCUGUACAGUGUAUGCAUAGAGGGCACUUUGAGUAAGUGGAUCUCUUAAACUCAAAGUUUAUGAUCCUUUUUCUCAAAACCUUGUUUUUAUUAGAUGAUCCAGGGGAUUCUCAUUAAGGAAUUGAACAUUGUUUAAGACCUGUCUGGAAAGUAUGAGACUUAACUGUGCCAAGCAAUGUGAGGUGUGACUUCAUUGGUCAGAGUUUAGGGCCUAAAUAAACUCACGGAAGCUGUCUUAUGCACUACAGGUAGUAGGUUUUACGGUUUUCCUUCAGUUAUGAUUAGACACUCCAGAUGUACUGUAUGAGUAAGUUGCCCAAUUGACUUUCAACUUCCUGGUAUUGUGUACCCUGUUACUGGUAAUUCUGGUAAUGAGUUUCAUUUUAAGAGAAACAUUGGUCGUUGCAGCAAGUCACUGAUAAAUGUUGGAGAUGUGUUCUAGAAGUUUUGACACUUGUUUUUUUUUUCAUACAGUUAGUGGUAAGAUUGCAGAAUGGAUUCUCAGGCCAAAUUUUUGGACCCCUUAACCUCAUUUAAAUUUAAUUUAAGAAAAUUUUUGACAAAAAUUCAACAAUUUAAUACAGAACACAAAUCAGAUGCAUAAAUAGACAUUUAAGUGAACAUGGAUACUGUAUUGUACUUGCCAAAGUAAAACUGAGAUUAUGUACACCUUGGCAGGUGUAAUUGCAGGAUUACAGUACUGUACUUGCAGAAUAUUUACCAUUCACAUUUAAAGGGUCUUUUGAAAAACUGAAGCAAAUUCUUUAACGGAGUGCAGCUUCAAACGCUCCACUAUCAACAACAUUGCCACUUGACAUUUUGGGUACAGAGGUAUAAUACAGUACUGUACACAGUUUGAAUUUUUUUAAUGCUCACUAUGGCAAAAAUUAUGUUUUAUUGGACAGGCACAACUUAAUGAUGUACAGGUAUCCCUCGCUAUACAAAUAAUCUUUAUCCAAAUAUUUGCUUAUCUGAAUGCUCGAUUCUUACAUCUCACCUUGCUAUCUGAAGAUGACAUUUGCUUCUAUGAAUGUUGGUCCAGACAAAAAUUUAAAUUGUGUGUCAGUUGUGGCCUGGGAGUCAGCUGGGCAGCCAUUUUUCUCCAUUAUAUGCGCAAGAAUGUGCUCUCGCUCAAGGCAUCUGCUGUCAUCCCACAUCCUUUGUGUUCACUGCAAGUAAAGUGUUCUCUCUUUAUCCAGCUGCAUUCCUUUCGUGAAUUUGUACACACUGGCAUCCAAAUGUAGUGGUGAUUCCUCUGUUCCCCCCUUCCUACCCCUUGCCAAGAGACCCCACAAGCCUGUGUUGCUUGAAACCAAACUUGAGAUAAUCAAGCAUCAGGAGCAGGCAGGGGAAAACCCUAACAUAAGGCAGUGUACCAACUGUAUAUACCUGUGUUUUUUAUCUUUUUUUUUUUAUUGGUAUAAUUCCUAAAAUAAUGUUUUGGUAAUUGUGUACAGUAUAUAUUUUUUUUAUCAGCCACCAAACCCUAUUUUUUGCAUUUAUUAAUUGCUUCCCAAAUACAGGUACAGUACAGUAUUCGAUAACUGAAGGGCUUUCAAAGAAUGUAACCUAUUAUAGUUCAGAAUUCCUGUAUAAAAAAAAAUUUCCCUUGUUUUUUAACAGCAUUUUACUGAAACAACACAAAUAAAACCAAUGUAAAUUGGUAACUUGCUAUGUAAACCCUGACAUCAUGGCAAAGUUCUACUCAUGAUAUGCAACCCUUAACAACCCAUAGAAAUUACUUUCACAGAUUGAAACUUUUCUUUAUGUUCACAUCAUUAUAUAAAUGCUCUCUUUAGUCUUAAACUGGAAGUUAAGACUUUUUUUAUUUUCUUGAAUAACAAUGAAUUUGGGGCUCCAUGGAUCAUCUGGUAGUUGCUCAGGUCUUCCAGGUUAUGAGUGCAAGGUUUGAUCCAAUGGCCAGGUGUGGUUGGUAAGGCAUUAUUCUACUGUGAUGGCCACCAACUGCCAGUGCCCCAGGCUAAACCAAUACUUCUCACCUGGUUACAGUAUUACCAUCCUGCAGUGUUGGAAAUAUCAUAAAAGAUGUCUAACUGAAGAGUUACAUACUGUAAUUUUUAUUUUGUAUUUUUCUCAUGUAACUUACUGAAGAUGUUAGUAUCUUAUUGAAAUACAGUACCGUACUGUACAGUAUUUUACUUAGACCUCAGAUAGCUUAUAAUAUUAAUUUAUGUGCAAGUAGAGCAUAAAUUUAUCCACAAAGAAAUAAUUUUGACUUUUGGAGGAUAGUCCAUAUCCUGACGUCCAUAGUUAUUUUAUUCUGAGAUUAUGAUUCUUUUCGACUUUUGGAUAAGAUGGUUGUCACUAAGUGUUAUAAAGUAGUUACUGUACAAUAUUUCUUUAGGGAUAUUUAUACUUUCAAACAAAUGUGGACAUUUUCUGUACCCUGCACAGUAUUCUUGGGCGAAUUCUGUCUUUGUAUAGUUAUAGUUUAUCUUGUUUUAUCUACUUUAUGUGAAGCAUUUUGUUUUCAUCCCCCUCCUCCACAGUAUAAACUUAUAUGUGCCCAAGACUCAUUAAAAUAAUGUUAUAGACUCAUUAAAAUAAUGUUAUUGAGUCUAGUGAUGACCGAUGUAUGAUCUUCCAUAACAUGUCAGUAUAUCAGAGAUAUUUUCAUACCCCUUAUAUUACAGCAUUAUAGAUCCCCUUUGCAUUUCCCGUCAGGCCUUAUAUUCUUAAUAAUUGCCACAAUACUCCCCAGAUAAGUCAUGAACCAUUUUUAGCUGUAGAUAACUAAAUAUUGCAUACAUAACUAAUCUCCUUUCACACUUACUGUACUACCAUUGCUUUGAAGAUGAGAUUUUCUCAGUAAUGUCCGUCCAUAGAAACGCCUAACAUUUUUAUAGAUCUGAUUUAUGCAAGCAUUACCUCCCACAAGAACUCCUUGUUCAUCUUUAAUAUCUUUACUUGUAUUGUACCUGUAAUUCUCUCUUUCCUAUCUGCUUAAAUCUGUUCUAUCUAGUUAUUUAUAUACAUUUUUUUCCCCAUCAAUGACAGUCAGUCCUGCAGAUAACAUAGCUUUUUUACUACCCUAAACAUGUGGUACGUAAAACCUAAUAAUCCGGUAUUUGUAUAAUUUCUCUCAUUGUGCUGCACAGGAAGUCCCCGACUUAUGAACGUCCAACUUAUGAACGCCCGCCGAUAAGAACGGAGUUAAACUUGAAAUUUACAGUAGUACUGUAUUUUAUUUACCUGAUGACUUAGUUUUUACUUUCAUUUACUGUAUUUUGUCAAUGUAUUUCUUCUUUUGUCUUAAAUUAAUUGAUUUUAGAUGUUUAUAAGGACUUAGGCUAUGAUAUAGUGGGAUUUUAAACAUUGUUCUGUAAGUAUGGUAUGUAUAUAGCAUGUGUUCCAACUUACAUACAAAUCCGACUUACGAACGUCCUCAGGAACAAAACCCGUUCGUAACCCGCAGACCCCCUGUAUUAGGUUCUGAUAACUCGACCCUUUACCAUUAGUUCUCCAUUGUCAUCAACUGAUUUUUAACUUACCUGCAUGUGGUACAGAAGAGUUUAUGUUAUACUCCUGGCUUCAUAGUCAUUGCCAUUUGCAAUGUUAAACUUUUACAAAUACCUGUACAGUACUGAAAGUUUAUUAAUCUGUCAUAUUUUGGAAACCCUGUACCUGUACAGUACUAAGUCUCUGUAUCAGAACCGACAAAACCUGGGAUUUUCUAGGCAGGUUUUUUAUGCCAGAUUUGCUGUAAAUUUCAUUGUGUUAACUGUUUAACAAAUUUGAUUAUGGCAAUAUAAUGUACAGGUGUUAAGCACUAUUCAGUACAGUAGUACAUGUACAGUUCUUUGAGGCAUGUCAACACAAUUUUUUAUCAGAUUACAAAUAGUACCCUGUAGCUAUUUGGAAGCCAAUUUUCUGUCUUUUAAUUUCCAGAAGCUGUAGUUGGUAAAAGUGUACUCAAGUAAAUUUCUUAACAACUCUGAUAAAGGGCAGGUGUUUUCUUCAGAUUUACAGUGGGAAAGUGCGUCUUUUUUUUUAUCUUUGAAAUCGCCAAGACAUUAUCAAUGUGGUAACAUCUGUAUGAAUUUGAUUAUGUUGACACAUUGAUAGAGUGCUAAUUCAGAUUAUUAUUUUGGCAGCCAUUUUUCUUUCAUGGAAUUUCCAUAAACAGAGACUGUUGUUAAACAGAUUUUAUUUAUAUUUGGCACAUUUAUAAAGUAUUUCAGUAUAAUACUGUAUGUACUGUGAUGCAUAUUGUAGUUAUGCAAGUUAGACAUUACUUUUUCAGGUGUGAUAGAUUAAGGAAGUUAUGGUAUAUUGUACUUAUUGAAUCCUCCCUGAAGGGUAAUGCUGUACUUCUGCAUAAUUGACAGAGGCUAAUAAAUGAGUUAAGUUUUCCUGGUAAACCAUGGAUAAGAAAAGAUAUUUAAUGUACUUGUGAUAAUGUGUAGGUGCUUGCCUUCCUUGUGUAGACGUUGUAAAUACAGUACUGUACAGGUAUAAAGGAAGAUUUAAAAUGAAUGAAAUUCCACGAAUGAGAAGUGCAAGAUAUGGAGGAGAAAGAGGCUGGACUCUGACUAAAGAACUGUACAUGGAACACAGUGAAGUAUAUCAAUGAAUGAUGUGUAUUGCAACAUUGACUGAAAGGAGGGGGAUGGUGGAUAGGAUUUCACUGGCGAGCUGUGCAAUACCUCACUUGUAUUUAAUAAAAUAAAUGUUUAAAAUAAAAA